CUGAGCGCGAGGCCCCGCAGCGCGCAAGCCCUGCGGCGGUUGACCCUCCACCCGUGUGAACUCUUAUCUGUUGCUUUGGCGGGCCGGGCUCGACCUGCCGGCUCCGGCUGGCGAGUGCCCGCCAGAGAAGCCCCAACUCGUGCUGUGAGUGUUGUCUGAGGAAAUGUGGAAUUAGUA
rnacentral:misc_RNA from 1 species